AACGAACGCUGGCGGCAUGCCUAACACAUGCAAGUCGAACGAGACCUUCGGGUCUAGUGGCGCACGGGUGCGUAACGCGUGGGAACCUGCCCUUAGGUUCGGAAUAACUCACCGAAAGGGGUGCUAAUACCGGAUAAUGUCUUCGGAGCAAAGAUUUAUCGCCUUUGGAUGGGCCCGCGUUUGAUUAGCUAGUUGGUAGGGUAAAGGCCUACCAAGGCGACGAUCCGUAGCUGGUCUGAGAGGAUGAUCAGCCACACUGGGACUGAGACACGGCCCAGACUCCUACGGGAGGCAGCAGUGGGGAAUAUUGGACAAUGGGCGAAAGCCUGAUCCAGCCAUGCCGCGUGAGUGAUGAAGGCCUUAGGGUUGUAAAGCUCUUUUACCCGGGAUGAUAAUGACAGUACCGGGAGAAUAAGCUCCGGCUAACUCCGUG
rnacentral:rRNA from 1 species